rnacentral:rRNA from 1 species
GACGAACGCUGGCGGCGUGCCUAAUACAUGCAAGUCGAACGCAGUGGGGACGGGUGAGUAACACGUGGGUAACCUCCCAUCAGAGGGGAUAACACUUGGAAACAGGUGCUAAACCGAUACUGAUGGAUGGACCCGCAGUGCAUUAGCUAGUUGGUGAGGUAACGGCUCACCUAGGCCACGAUGCAUAGCCGGUCUGAGAGGAUGAUCAGCCACACUGGGACUGAGACACGGCCCAGACUCCUACGGGAGGCAGCAGUGGGGAAUAUUGGGCAAUGGGCGAAAGUCUGACGGAGCAACGCCGCGUGAAUGAAGAAGGUUUUAGGAUCGUAAAACACUGUUGUUAGGGAAGCGGUAUCUAACCAGAAAGCCACGGCUAACUACGUGCCAGCAGCCGCGGUAAUUC